UAGAUUGGCAUAUUUAUCGGUAUUUCUUCAGUACCAGUAUACGGUCACAUUGGCGAAGUGUCAAAAAAAGUUUUAAAACAAACGUUAAACAAUCAAGAGUGGCAAUCAAACAAAACAAAGUGCAUUUAUUAGCCGAGAGAUAGUAUUAGUGUCAUUCAUUGAAACUGAUUGAUUAAACUGCCAAGAUCCGACGAUACUACCUAUUCGUCUCGCAGCCAACGUCCAGUGUGGUCUGGUAAAUUGUCUGACGAGACUUACAACGACGCAGUGCGUCGGAUUAGAAGUGCUCAUAGUUGCGAGCAGCUACGCCACCUGGUCAACCGGAUUCCAUGGAGAAGGGAGAGCCAAAUUGGACCCAGUGAUGAGGUGCAGGUGGCCUCCGUGCACGGAAGCCAAACCAGGGCCUGGGGCCGCCUCAAUUAUAAGAUAA
rnacentral:misc_RNA from 1 species